rnacentral:piRNA from 1 species
UUUUGCUCAAUGCUGUGGUUUAUGGCAUAC